rnacentral:lncRNA from 1 species
GUUUUUUUUCUUUUGGAGAGAGUGAGUUUCAGAUCUGAAAGUUUGAGAGAAGUUAUUAUUUAGAGCCUAAUUUUCAAAGUUUAAAAUCUGAGAGCAAAAGUUUGAAAGAUCAAAUUCUGAUAGUAAAAUUCCUGCAAAUUUAAGUGAGCUAAUAGCCAAAAAUCCAACAAAAUUGAGAGGAAAACUACUGUUUCAUUAGUUUUCAUUGAUUUCACAUGUCUCCAACUUUUGAAAAUUGCUUAGUGUCACAAAGGUAGGAAAUGGUUUAAAUAUGUUCUUCAAGAGCUUUGGUGCAAACUUGUUUGAGCUGUUUGAUUGUUCAACCUCUUGGAAACUUGGAUCUGUCCUAGGUCAAAGUGUUUUGACUAGCUGAUUACUGCUAACUCCUGUGUGCUGUCUCACCCUUGAUUAUUUUCUUUAUCUAAUUUUCAGGUACUCCUUGAUUCUCUAGGAACUGAUGUGCAAACAUACAAGCUGUAAUUGUCUGAAGUUUUCUAUAGAAGGAUGACUGUUUUCCCUUACAUCUUCAAUGUCAAAUCUCUGUUUGAAAUGUCUAAGUUUAGUAGUUUGUCGUCGCCUUGUCUAUAAGGACGUUUUAGCGCUUUAAAACCAUUAAAAGCCUUUACGUACUGCCAUUUUUGGCUGGUUAUGAAAGGUGCUUGAACUGAUCCCCAUUGAGGAGAUAAAACUCAUCGUCUUUUAUAUCUGAAGCAUUCAACUUCUCAUUCCAUAUAUAUUCCUUUGAAAUAUAAUGCAUUGGCUAAGAUGGGAACUCUAUCGCUUUUGACUGAAUUUUGAGGAAGAAUCUCAUUGAUUAGACCAUUUGUUUC